rnacentral:lncRNA from 1 species
GAUUACACACCUGCAAGGGCUUUCUAACCUAUGUGUGGUCCUGCUAGAAUGCUUUCUGGUCAUGGUUACUGCAAUCAAAACCACCUAUAAGAGGACAGGUAGAAAAGCUAAUGCUUGGUAAAACACUAGUUAUUUCAUUCCCAUCACCAAAAAUAUUCUGUUUAUACAAUUCUCUUUAAUUAAGUGUAGCACAAUUGCCAUUUUUAUUAAUAGAAGCAAGAUUUAAAUGAAUAGGUUUUUUCAGUGUGACAAAUGAAUAAAAGCCAACGGAGAACAUCAUUAUUGUUUCACAUUUCCAUUAACCUUAAAAAGUCUCAAGAAACUGUGUGUUUGAGCACCAGAAUAUAUAGGUUUUAAUUACAAGAUGACUCUAUUUGGUAUUUUUAACUUGUUACAUGCUUUUACUUAGGCCAUAUACUGACAUCAACACUUAGGAAGAAAUAGGACUGCAAUGAGGACAAAACCUGUUACAGGGAAAGGAAAUGAUAGAGGCCUGGAAAACAAAGCAAAUAACAAGAGUCAGAUGUUGAAGGAAUAGAGGGAAAUAUACUAAGAGGAAAAAAUAAGAGGCGUACACAUGGCCAGGAGUAAUUUGAGUUACCAGAGGAAGCAUGGACCUGUAACUGACAGAGUGAGGAUUGUGCUCCAGAAGUAAAACAUAGUUUCAAAGCAACAGACAGGGAUUCAUAAGGGCAAAAGGAAUUUGGCAGCUGUGAUUUAAUCGAAGAUCAUGAGAUGGAAAGAUUAUUAUCUGUGUGCAUCUAACAUAAUCACAAAGGUCCUUUUAAUGUGAAAGAGGAAGACAGGAGAGUCAGAGGGUCAGAGAAGAUGUGAAUACAGAAGCAGAGGUCACAACGACGUGAGAAAGGCACAUCUGGCUUUGAAGAUAGAGGGGCGAUGUGCCGAGGAAUGCAGGAAGCCUAAAAAGCUGAAAUAAGCAAGAAGUGGAUUCUUUCCUGCUGCUGCCAGAAGGGACAUACCCCUGCAGACACCUUGAUUUUUGCCCCAUAAUACUCUUUUUAGAUUUCUGACUCAUAGAAAUAUAAGAUAAUAAAUUUGCUUUGUUGUAAGCCACUAAGUUAGUGGUAAACGGUAAGUUUGUAAAGCAAUAAGAAAUGAACAGACAUUUAAGAAUAUUAUUUUAAGUCUAUGCUUAGACUUUUCCCAAGAAUAUUUAUGCAAUGGGAUUAUAUUCUAGUUUUAUAACUGAGUUAAUUUAUAUAGCAAUAUAUCAUAAAUGUCUCUUCAAAUUAAUACAUGCACAUCUAUGGUAAUAACUAUGAAUUACUAUGUAGUAUAUUUUAUGUAUAUAUUAUAGUUAUUAAUCAAUCUGAAAUUGUGAGGCCUUUAGUUUUCUUCUUAUAUUUUUGCUAAUAUAUAGAGUGUUUGGGAAAAUAUUUUUAUAUAUGAAACUGUGUCAAUCUAUGGUUUUUUUACUUGUAUUUUCAAAUCUAAUAUUAUUAUUUAGUAUAACAUAAAUUAUUUUGAUGGGAAACUCAUAUUUUCAAUGUUUUAGGUAUAUAACUAGUUUGCCUUCCAAAAAAGGCAAAUUAAUUGCACCAAUUAUUAAUUAGCCCCAUCAGUUUAUAAGAUAGGUGGGAGAAGGGUCUGCCAUUUUUAGUUAUAAUCUAAAACCCCCAAAAAACAGAACAGUAGUUUUUUUCUGAAAAUCAGAUUUCUCACAGAAUGAAAUAAAUUAAAAACUCAUACUUGUUAUAUUCCCUUAAAACAAUAGAAGAAUGAUGUAGAUGGAGUAUAUGUCCUUAUCAUGCAACUCAGAUUAUAUACCUAAAAAUAUGCAACUCAUAGUUAUUUGAAAAAUUAAUAUAGAAACCUAGAUUGAAACCUUUAAAAAGUUGCCAAAAAUCACCAUUUAAAAUUAGUUGAUUUAUUAAAAUUUUGAACAGGAAGUUUAUUCAAUGUAUUUAAGACAAAAAUUAAUGUUGGUAGAUAUUACAUAAAACCUAGAAAUCUAUUUCCCCAUAUUAAAAACGAAUAAUGAAGUAAGAAAAGAGAGAGAGAAAUGACGGGAAAAAAUGAAUACACAAUAGAUAGUUCAAAUGAUUAAAUGGUAAGUGAAAAGGAUUUAAAAAAUAAAAAACAGUGAGGAAAAAUAUUAUCUCCAAUGGCUGUGUCUCAUAGCUUAUUAGUCUCUUAUCAAAUGCACUGUUUUAAAGAAAAUUAUUGCAGUAAUGCUAAUUUCUUUAUAUAUUUUGGACAUGAAAACCUGUAUUAGGAGGCAACAAAAUAAUUUGCACAGUAGUAUGAAUACUGUAUUUGAUAAACAAUAAUUUUUUAAGAUGGGUUUGUAGAGUACCACGGACUAUAUUUCAGAUUUCAAAAGUAGAAGAUAUGAGCAAUUUCUUCUAAUAAAUGUUUACAAAAUGAUCAGGUAAAUAAAUCACCUUUUACAAAUCUAUCAAAUUAAAAAAUUGAAAUCUGGAGAAGUUAGGAGGCUUGCCAAAUAGUUCAAAGAAAGUAUUUUUAUGAGACUCCAACACUAUUGACUUUCAGCUUAACACUUGUUUAUAUCAUGCACAAUAUCAAAUAUAGAGUAUAAGAAGGGAAUAUAAUACAGAAAGUAAUAUAAUCAUUUCAAAAAAAGUGAAGCUGAAUUUUUAAAAAAUAUAAUUCUCCUAUAAUUUUUUAGGUACUUGAAAAUUAUAUUGGCCUAUUUUAUUUAUUUUGUUAGAUAGUGAUGGUGCAAAUACUGGUCUUUAGAAACAGAACAAUGCUCCAAAAUUACCCUAUGCUGCAUAUUGCCAAUAAUAUAACUGUAAGAUAUGUAUUUAGUCUUAAACUAUCUUAUUUAUCACCAAAUACCUACAGCUAACAGCUGAAGGGAACGAUACAAUUCUGAAUAAGCAUGUAUAAAGAAUGCUUAGGGCUUAAGCACAAACUAAAUAAAGUUUAUCGCUUUUGUCUUCUUUUCUCAUCGCUUUAAAGGAUGCUUGUUGCAAUUCUAAAACAGAAUAGUGAUGGAACCAAGGUCCCCAUUUUCUUUCCGGCUGUCAGGUGAGGGCCACUCACAACUUCUUGAGGCUGCCACGUUCCUUGUUUCAUGGUCUCCCUCCUUCCUCCACUUUUAAAGCUAAAGACGUGAGACUGGUCAUAUUGAAGGUCUUUGGCCCUCCGUUCUCCAUCUGUUCUCACAUCUCUGACCACAAUCAGUAAUAAUUAUCCACUUUAGGGCCUCAUGUGAUUAUAUUUGGUCCACUUGGAUAAUCCAGGAUAAUCUCCUCAUCCCAACAUUCUUAGCUUUAUCACAUCUGCAAAGUCCCUUUUGCCCUGAAUUACAACAUAUUCACAAAUUCCAGAGAUAGGGUUGUGGGCAUCUUUGGUGGGUGCAAUUAUUCUGCCCACCAUACUAUAAGAUUGUUUAAGGUAGUGGAAAUAAAUCUUUCUUAAAAGUCCAGAAAGCAUAUAAAAUGACUUACUGGUAAUUACGCAGAGUUAAAUAUUUUAACUAUCUGUUAAAAUGAUAAAUGUUAUGACUUAGAAUAAAAACGUACUCCCAUUAUAACCUUUGUUAUCAAAAUACCUGCAAUAGUAAGAUCUUCCAGUUUAAAAAAUAAUAGUCAUUUUUGAUAAAUGGGUAUGACCGAUGUGCAGAAUUUUCUUUUUAAGUAAAGCUUUUAUAGUUAACAUAUAAUAUAAAUUUCAAGGUGAGGAGAUGGGGCAAGAUGGCAGAAUAGAAGGCUCUACCGAUUGUCCCCUCUACAAGGACACCAAUUUAAAAACUAUUUACACCAUAAAAGCACCUUCAUAAGAACCAGAAUUCAGGUGAGCACCCACAGUACCUGGUUUUUAAUUCAUAUAGCUGAAAGAGGCACUGAAGAGAUGUAAAAAACUGUCUUGAAUCGCAGAUGCCACCCCACUCCCGUUUUCCAGCAAUGGCGGCAUGGUGCUGAGAGCAUUUCCGUAACUUAGGGAGAGGAAGAACUCAGCAAUUGUGAGAAAUUUGAGAAAUUGAACUCAGCGCUGCCGUGUUAAAGCAGAAAGAAAAUGCUGACCAAACACUGCUGAUGCUCCUCCAUGGAGGGAGCAUUUAAAUCAGCCCUAGCCAGAGGGGAAUUGUCAAUCCCAGCAGUCAGACCUUAAUUUCCUGCAAGCAUCACCACCACAGGAGAAAGGCUCUGGGGUCUUAAAUAAACUUGAAAGGCAGUUUAGGCCACAAGGACUGAAACUCCUAGGUGAAUCCUAGUGCAGAAAGGGACCUAGAGCCAGAGGACUAGGAGUGCACAAGACUGACUGAGACACCAGCCUGGCUGGCUAAGGGAGUAUUGGCCUCACCCCUACCCCAAACCCAGGCUUCACAGCUUGUGGCUCCAAAACAAACCCCUUUCUUCUGCUUGAGGAGAGGAAAGGAGAGAGCAGGGAGGACUUUGUUUUGCAUCCUGGAUACCAGCUAAGCCACAGCAGGAUAAGGUAUUGGUCAGAGUCAUGAGGCCCACUUUCCAGGGCCUAGCUCCCGAAUGACAUUUCUAGGCAAACUCUUGGACAGAAGGGCACCUGAUGUCUUGAAGGGAAGGAACCAGUUCUAGCAGGAUUUAUCACCUGAUGACUGAAGAGACCUUGGGUCCUGAAAAAACAUCAGCAAUAGCUAGGUACUACAUCAAGGGCCUUGGGUGAGACACUGAGACUUGCCGACUUCAGGUAAGACCCAGCCCAUCCCCAGCUGUGUUGGCUACAGGGAGAGACUUCUGCUUGAGUAAAGCAAAGGGAAAAGUAAAGGAGACUUUGUCUUAUACCUUAGGUAACAACUCAGCCACAUGGUCAUAGAGCACCAAGUGGGUUCUUGGGGUCUUUCAUUCCAGGCCUUGGAUCUUAGACAGUAUUAUUGGACCUGCCCUGGGCCAGAGAGGAGCACACUGUGAUGGUUAAUACUGUCAACUUGAUUGGAUUGAAGGAUGCAAAAUAUUGAUCCUGGGUGUGUCAAAGGAGAUUAACAUUUGAGUCAGUGGGAUGUAAAAGGCAGACCCACUCUCAAUCUGGGUGGGCACAAUCUAAUUAGCUGCCAGUGUGUCCAGGAUAUAAAGCAGGCAGA